GGUCUAAUAGUGUAGAGGUUAUCACACGGGAUUUUGAUCACACUUAGGUAACAUUAACGACUUCCCGUAACCCAGGUUCGAGUCCUGGUUAGACCU